AUCCAUUUAGAGUUCAUCCAGUUGAUAGAAGAUGAGACACUUAAUCUCAGGGUCAUGGGUUCAAGCCCCACAUUGGGCA